GGCACAAUGGGUCAGUGGCACAAUGGGUCAAUGUGAGGCACAAAUGGGGUUCAGAUGUGGGCACAAUGGGGUCAAUGUGGGGCACAAUGGGGUCAAUGUGGGGCACAAUGGGGUCAAUGUGGGGCACAAUGGGGUCAGAUGUGGGGCACAAUGGGGUCAAUGGGGGCACAAUGGGGUCAGAUGUGGGGCACAAUGGGGUCAGUGGGGCACAAUGGGGUCAAUGUGGGGCACAAUGGGGUCAAUGUGGGGCCCAUAACCAAUGACCCCAUGGCCCCAUUGCCCCCCAUUGACUCACCACGAUACGGAACGGUGAGUUGGGGACGUGCUGCCCCCCCAAACCCACAAUGGUCAAUGUGGGGCACAAUGGGUAAUGUGGGCACAAUGGGGUCAAUGGGGCACAAGGGGUCAAUAUGGGGCGACUAUGGGGUCAAUGUGGGGCACAAUGGGUCAAUGUGGGGCACAAUGGGGUCAGAUGUGGGGCACAAUGGGGUCAGAUGUGGACAGUGAGGGUCAAUGUGGGCACAAUGGGGACAAUGUGGGCACAAUGGGGUUCAAUGCGGACAAUAGUUGGUCAAUGUGCACAAUGGGGUCAGUGGGGCACAAUGGGGUCAGAUGUGGGGCACAAUGGGGUCAAUGUGGGGCACAAUGGGGUCAAUGUGGGGCACAAUGGGGGUCAGAUGUGGGGCACAAAUGGGGUCAAUGUGGGGCACCAAUUGGGUUUCAAUUGUGGGCCCAUAACCAUGACCCAUGGCCCCCCCCCCACACCCCCCCCCCACCACCCAAGUGCCAGCCCCAUUGACUCACCACGAUACGGAACGGUGAGUUGGGGGACGUGCUGCCCCCC
rnacentral:lncRNA from 1 species